GAGAAACCCGAAAGGUCGAAAGAGGAAAUUCAUUCGCGUUUCGAUCGUCGAAAGUUGAAUGUAUUUGUAUGACGGAUGACGUGUGUGCGCUUCGGCUCUCUCAUGUUUAUCCGCAUAUUAUAUUCUUCGAAUCGAUAUCGAACGCGUGCACUUUUCCUCUAGUAGAACGUCGUGAUCCGUUGGGUGUUUGUCUAAGACUCGAGGUGGAGCCCACAUGAUUUUUUGUCGAUUAUGUGGACCCUCUAUGUUCUUCCGACAGACUCGCUCGACGGUAUAAAUAUGGCGCGGGGCCGCUACACAUUACAGUUAGCGUUCGGCCCGUAGCAAGCACGUUUCGUGUUUGACGGCGAUCGGACCUAGUGCCGAUUCUGUCCCGGAACGACUGUUGGUUACGGUGUUUUUUUAUCUCGAACAGACCUCGUUUGAAACGCCGAUCAACGACGCUAUAGAUUUGGGUACUUUCAGGACCC
rnacentral:rRNA from 1 species